AGAUAUCCAUUCCCGCCUCUUUUCACAGCUCAGAUCCUUGUCCAUCAAAAGGUUUCUGCAAUAAGUCUUUCUAAAACAAUACCCAGGAAUCAUCCCACAUAUUACUGGGGAGGUUAAUAAUAAUUGUAUUAGAGUCACGCACUGGAGGGAGAGACAAGGAGAAACUCAACUUUUAGCUAUAGAUGUUUUCUUUUUGGGGAGGGGAAAACUCAGUCCCUGAAAAAAAAAAAACCCGUUACAGUUUCCCAUUAAAACUUGACACCAUGGGAUGGCCCUAGCGGUCACGUCCACCUCGGAUUGGUUCGCUCACCGGAAGUUGCUUUCAGACGCCUAUUCCAACAGAUAAGUCAACUGCCAGAGACCCGUUUUUUCCCUUCCCCCCAAAGUAUAUUUUGUCACAGCCCCAGCCCCACAGAUCCCGGCGCAGCUCCAUGUGCAGACGACCCACCCAUCGGUGCUGGUGCCCAAAGCAACCCGUGACAGCUGCUUCUCGGUCCCCGUCUCUUCCCCUCCAGCCCCCUCCCCUUCUUCCAUUGCAAACUGGGGGGGGGACAUUUCCCUUACCUCCUUUGGGGGUGAGAUGUCGUCACCAGCCAGGACUGCUGCGGUACCUUCCGCCUCCCUUCCCCGGGUUGGGGGGACCCGGCAGGGCGCGGUGCUCCCAGCACAGAGAUCCCUGUGGGGGUGCACCCAGAGGCAAAGACGAGGCGUCCAGUUUGGGAUUUGAUGACGAGAACUCUCCAGCCCCCAGCCAGAGGGGUCCACUUUCUCCAGGCUUGAGUCCGAAACUGGGGCCACCACCAGCCCGGGACGGACCUUGCCAAAGCAUCGGCACUUCUUCACAGCCUCAGGUAGCCACCAAGCCAGCAGGUUCCCAGGUGCUUUCGUUGCCUACUGACUUCACCCCCCCUGCUGCUGCCGGGCACCGGCGAGAAAGUAGCCCUUCGUCAUCUUGCUCGGACGCUGUAAAGGGGGAUUAUGAAGCGUCCAUUAGACUGAAACCCGGCUAUGGAUCGUCCGGGACGGGGAAAACAGAAGAGCAGCGUUUUUUCCUCCAGGAGGCUUCAUUUUUAGACAGGCCUAAAGACGACCAAACGUCGCAAGAAUACAAGGUGUAUGCUGGACGGACCAAAAUGACGUGUCGAAUGGCUUCCUAUUGAGUUCUUUGACUCACUUAAAUGGACACCGUCGAUUUUUUUUAAAAUCACUUUUCUCUGAAUCAUGUUGACUUUCUAUUGUUGCACCUAUCUCCGAAAAUGACUGAAAGAGAUGAGAUUGAGAAUUUUUUUUUAAUUGUGCCCAUUUGACAGCAGCAACUUGUGUCGAGUCAGGUUCACUUUUCAGAGUCAAUUCCUCCUUUGUUUUGGGGAAACUUUACCACAACAAGAGGUCAAAUAUUAUUAAAUGCAAUAAUAAAUUGUUAACAUGUAAUUGUAAAACCACAAACAAUUGGCAGGGGGAUUCAGGAGCAGGUCUAAUACCUGAAGCUACCUUUAGCCUUUUUCUUUUUUUUAAAUUGACCAUAAAUUACAAAUUGAUGGUGUCUCUUUCAAUUUUGCAAGGAUGAUUAUUAUAUCUUUUUCCCCUUAUUAUUUUCCACCACUCUUUUAUUCUAGUACAUGCACACAUAAAAGUGGGAUAUGACAUCUUAUACUGGAUAUGAUUUUCACUGGUCCUUGGAGUCUUACAUAGCCUGUGGACAUUUCCAGCCAAUCGCUUUCGCUUCUAAAUUUCGGAGAUGAAGGCUGUGUCACUUCAUUAUCUCUGAUCAUGGUUAUUUCACUGCGCACCUUGUAUUAAUUUGCUAAUCGCCAUUCGUGAUGCUGCGGCGUUAGUCUUUGAGUCUGUAUUGUAAGACUGGUCCUCGCAAAACGUGAUUGAUUUGCUUAAUUUAUGUACCCCUGAACAUCAGUGAAUUAAUAAUAUAAUAAAGUGGGUUCCGCUGGUAAUAAGAAAAAGGUAAAACUGUGCAGUUGUGUAAUAUAAAGGCUUCUGGUUUUAAUUUCAUUCCUGGGUUGCUAUCUCAUAUAAAACUGCUUGUGACUGGAAAAUCUUGGUUAUUCCAUGCCUUACAGAAACUUUUUUUUAAAAGCAUAAUUCAAUUUUUUAUCUUGGAUUUACAACAGAUACCUGGGUUCGGUGAAAAAGGAGCUAAAAGACUGUUACUGACAGUCUAAAUUCAAGUACCUUCCUCUGAAUUUGGUUUACAGAGAACUAGUUUGUUUUUUUUUAGUGGACAAAUUAGUUGUGUUUUCUGAUUCUUUUAAUUAAUAGAAAAUUAAUUUCUUUCUUUCUUUCUUCUUUCUUUCUUUCUUUUUCUUCUUUCUUUCUUCUUUCUUUCUUUCUUUCUCAUUUGCAUCAAAACACAGUUACAAAUGUUUGUCUUAAACUUGGCAGAGGAUUGAAAAGCUGAACCUAUAGCUGGCAGCUGGCUGACUGCAAAGGGUGGAAAGGAAAAAAGAAGCCCUUAUACUAAAUACCAGACGCUGGAGCUGGGAAAGAAAUUCUUUAUGUAUUUGACCAGAGUGCGCCGCCUAGAGGUCAGAUGAAGUGUCAACUUCACAGAUUAGACAAGCCAAAAUCUGGUUCCAAAACCGCAGGAUGAAACUGAAAAAAAUGACCAAAGAUAAUAGGGUGCGACCAGAAUUUAACAGCUCAGUUCUCUUUGUGACAUGUGACUAAAUAAAACCAACGCAAAUCAAUUUGUGGGAAGAAAGGGAGGGGUAAUAUUUAUUUUUUGUCUUUGUUACCGCGGUUGUAACAAUGUUAAGGGAUUUCAGAUAUAUAUUUUAUUAUCUCCUAAACCAUGUGGUUAAGAAAUAUUCCUACGUAGGGUUUUUGUUUGUGAUAUACCUUUAGGCUGAAGCAUAGUUAAAAAGCAUUCACUCUAAAGUAAUAACCCCACUGACAUUUCUUCGAAUGGAGCUCUUACGAUGCUAGACAGUAAGGGUUUUUAAGCCAACUUUUUAAUCUUAUCCAUUUAAAUGCGAUAAGCACCUUCCAUAUGUAACACAUUCUGGUUGAAAAUAUUCCCCCAUUCUUACAGAACUGAUGACAAAUACUCCCAGAGGCUAGUUCUGAUGGAUGAGAACCCUGACAAACAGCUGUUAUAACAAUAUUUUAAUAAAACCAUAGCGUGGUGCAGGUCUAAAUAAAGCACAAGGAAACCCAUAAAGAGAACUUGAGCGUCAAAAGCAGAGAGAGAGAGAGAGAGAGAUACAUAUAUUGAUAUAUACGCAUACACUUUCAUUUUCCCUUGUCUAUUAAUUAUUUUAGCAGGUAUUUUGACGAGUGGAAGUGUCCUAUAGCUAAGAUAUCCAUUAAUUAUAUGAGAGCACUAGCUGGUCUGUGACGCCUAAAUUUAAAACCUUUUGAAGAACUUUCGCAACAGCCGGGGGGGGGAGGGGAUCCCAUUACUUUAAAAUGUUAUUCCAGCUCAAGGAUUAAACCCAAUAUAUAGUUUAUGUAGUUUUAUUAUGAUUAUUAUUAAGAUCUGCGUUAUUUAUUUUAAACCUGGUCGUGAAAUUAUAUGGCACAUGCAGUUUUGUACUUCACACUUAUCUAGGUCGUUUUAUUUAUGUUUCAGUCUGUAAUUUGAUGGGGGGGUGUAUUUAAUUUCCAAAUGUGAGCAGUGAAAGCUCAAUGAUAAACAUAUUCUUCCAUUUUGUUGUUUUGCAUAAGUGGAAGAGCUCUCAGUACCAAUGUCACUCCAAUACUGGAAGCUUUGAAGAAGAUAAAUGAAAAAUGUUUGAUCCAGUGGUUUCAAUUUUUAAAAAAGUCUCUGUAGCAGAUAGAAUUCAAUAUAAGACGUUUUGACAUGUGUGGGGUGUGGAUUAUUUGUCAAUGAAACGCAAAUAAAGUUUGAUAGCAAUAUAGCCUUUUGAUUUUUUUCCAGAGUUUGAUUUAAACUUGAACCUGCCCCUCUCUGGUGCAGAGUCAUGACUGUGAUCAAAAAUGAAACGAUACAUUUGAAAUAAAAAGUGCAUCUUUAUUUUAAAUCCCAGUCGAUGCCAGAGAGGUUUACUAAUAUUUUUUCUAUGUCUUGUAAUUUUCAAAAAAAGGUCUAAUAUUGCACAAAAAUAAAAAUCUAGGAUGCUGGAUAUUCUGAUCGUAAAUUAUUUCUCUUUUUAUAAUGUAUGGUUUGAUGGUGUUGUUGUGGUGUUCUUUUAAAUCUGUGUUUUCUUUCUGUUCACCGCCGCUGAUGUGAUGUAAACUGUUUGAAGUUCAACAACAUGGCUAAGUUUAUUGUAUUUCCGGUACAAUAGAUUUAUAUACCACCCCGUCCAGUCUUUAAAGGCUUUGCAAAUGAAAUGAAGCUAAGUUAUAGUCAAGUUUCAGGCUCCUUCCUGCAUCUCUUGAACUCGGACUAGUUGUUGUUGUGGGUUUGGUUUGGUUUGGUUUUUCUUCUAACGAACUUUUAAAGGCUAGGAAACUUGUACUUUAGAAACACGGCUAUCUUUACUUUAUUGUCUGUCGAGUGAGUUGAUUUAUUAUUUAACCCACUUAUUGAAGAAUACAACGCUCGAGGUAAGACAUUUAAUUUAUAUUUUAUGACAUUUAAAAAACGAGGGCAGCGGGAAAACUGAAGUAGAAAAUCUCAGUGUUAUAUUUUUUAAAAGAAUCUAAAUUUAAAUCGUUUCAUGUGCUUGAAAAGUUCUAAAAGUCUUCUAAGAAUUAAGGAAAUCUCACAGAACCUUGAACCUCAGCAAAAACUCCCUUUUGGGCUGUUAUCCAACCAUCUUUCCUCACCCUCUCCUCAGCUUGCUAGGUCUAAUUCUUCCCCUUUAUAAAAUUGGUAAUUAUUUUAUAUAAUCACUAUAAACAUGUCAUUUAUAUAUUCAGUGCAAAAAAGGACAAGUUCCUUAAAGUUGCUAGGUUAUAGCUAUAGAAGAGAUGUGGCGAUGCUCUUCCUAUUGUUCCCCUCGAUUCAAACUUUUUGAAAAAUUGGCUUAAGUUAUACUCACUUUUUGGGGUGUGGGAGAGAGAAAAUUAAUUAUGAUUUUUGAUUUCCAGAAUUCACUGGUUUUAUGUUAUUGUUAUUGUCAGCAGGAAGUUAUCAAAUAGUUGUUUUUUUUUUUUAACAAAAAUCAAAUUUUUCAAAAAAUAUUUUCAUACGGGAAAAGAUGCUUUCAAUUGCUUUUAUUAAAAGCUUGAGGAAUUUUUGGGCUCUACUUAUAGCUGAGAUAAUCUUUUGUUUCUCAAAGUCAAUAGUAUUUCACUGUUUCCUCUAGUCUAUUUGUAAACUAUUUGUAAAGUCCUGCAGGAGAGAUCCGUUCUAGACACUGUACAUAGGAAAUAAUCUGAAUGGAUAUUUCGUGAAAUCGUAGGGGUUUUUUGUCUUUGAAAAGACCCUUUUGUUGCUUUUGUUUCCUAGCAACUGUUUUCUAUUAUAAAAGUUCAGAUUCCAAGUGAUGUCAAACAAAAUGGCCGCCCAGGCGCCUUUCUUGGUAAUUUUAGCCUUUGACCCAGGAAUGAACUAGAACUGCUUUGUGAAUUAGGUAGUUUCAUGUUGUUGGGGUUUUAUUUUUAAACACAAGAACAUAAAACUACCUGAUUUACUCCAGUUAUUCUCCUCGAUUUUGUUUAUUCAGGCAGUUGGAUCAGAGGAAAAUGAUAGGUACGUUUAUUCAUUCAUUCAUUCAUUCAUUCAUUCAUUUAUUUUCUGCUCAAACCAUAUUAACGAAUUUUUAGUAUCUAAGGGCUAAGCAAGUUGGCAACAGUCCCUAUUAGCUUUGCAAAAAAUAAAUAAAAAUCAGGGAUUAUGCAUGCAGGGGUUUGGGGGGGUUUUCUUCAAAAUUCUGUUUCAGUGCCAUUUUGCAAGAAUGUAUAAUGACGCACAAAACAAUUUAACAAUUUAUGAAGGGCUCCAUCCUGCUCCUGCUAAAUUCAGUGGGAUCAGGAUCCGUUCCCGACAGGAGAUUUCUUAAAAAUAUUUUCUCUAAUUCCUUUAUGUAUAUAAAGGGAAUGAAGUUUUUUUUAUUUUUGGAAUAAGAAAUCCACAUCUAUGCUUAAAUUAUAAAAUAUUAGUUCAGGGAACACACUAAAACUCCCUCCAGGUUUCUUCGGUUGCCCCAUAUUACUCAGUUAUGUUCAUUAUAAACCCUAUUGCGAAAAUGCAUACACAUAUAACUUUCUAUUUUAUUUAUUUGAGCAUAAGCUUUCGUGAGCUACAGCUCACUUCAUCGGAUGCUCACGAAAGCUUAUGCUCAAACAAAUGUGUUAGUCUCUAAGGUGCCACAAGUCCUCCUUCUCUUUUUGCGAAUGCAGACUAACAUGGCUGCUACUCUGAAACCUUUCUAUUUCAGUUAUUUCACUAUGAUCAUACACAGCUUGAAUGGUAAUGUGCAAUCGGUUGUCUCUUGAGUUCUCCUGUUUCUUCUCUACCUACAUUCGAAAUAGACAUGAUAGCUACAAUGUGAGUUUAACAUAAUAUGGACUAAGAACAGAUGCUACUUAUAUACUCCACAUGCACGUUGGUGUUUUCUAUACUGAUGAUAAAAAUAUUCAUACAGGUGGGUACACACGCGCCUCCAUGUGAGGCUGUAGAUAAUUUUCUUUCGUUUUAGUAGUAAAACAACAAUUUAUCGUUUAACUUAAAACAUAUGAUCUUCAAAUGAAGCUAACCAAGGAUAAUGCAUGCAAAAGUGUUUAAAUACAAGCCUCCCACUGUGGUAGAAAUAUUGAUGAUCAAAGUUAUUUCUCGGUAACCUAAAAUAUUCCACGUUAGUAGGCUCCUAAAAAUUAUAUUUAUACUAAGUAAUGAUAUCAAAGAAUGGAAAUACCUUUCUGUAUAUCAGUUUCUGAAAUGAGCAUAAAAGUAAAUAGUAUAUCGUCUGGGACGAGAUUUUUUUUAAGUGUGCUUACCUCACACUUUGAGUUUCGAAUUACUAAAGAUUGAGGUGAUAUCCAAGUUUAGAAUAUCAUCUGCUAUUUCUUCUGUAAUCGAAGGAUUGCUGUGAAUUCAGUUUAUUCUAGGGUCGGAAUGGUAAAAAACUGUUUUACAGCCUUUAACCAGGGGCAUGCUUUAUCCCUGCAACUGGUGAUUGUUGUAGGCAAUGUGCCCAUCUUCCCUAUUAAACUAGCAGCCAUUCAGG